AACGAACGCUGGCGGCAGGCUUAACACAUGCAAGUCGAGCGCCCCGCAAGGGGAGCGGCAGACGGGUGAGUAACGCGUGGGAAUCUACCCAUCUCUACGGAAUAACGCAUGGAAACGUGUGCUAAUACCGUAUACGUCCUUCGGGAGAAAGAUUUAUCGGAGAUGGAUGAGCCCGCGUUGGAUUAGCUAGUUGGUGGGGAAAAGGCCUACCAAGGCGACGAUCCAUAGCUGGUCUGAGAGGUUGAUCAGCCACACUGGGACUGAGACACGGCCCAGACUCCUACGAGAGGCAGCAGUGGGGAAUAUUGGACAAUGGGCGCAAGCCUGAGCCGGCCAUGCCGCGUGAGUGAUGAAGGCGCUAGGGUUGUAAAGCUCUUUCACCGGUGAAGAUAAUGACGGUAACCGGAGAAGAAGCCCCGGCUAACUUCGUGCCAGCCGCCGCGGUAAAAC
rnacentral:rRNA from 1 species